GUCUUGGGCCACACCUUCAACGCUCAGACAGACAGACUAAAAUUCUGCUUUAGCCCACACUUCAUGCUUGCAUAGAGCCCGAAGGUCAGCCCGAAGUGAGAGUCUAAGGCUUUCUUGGGUCUCUUCCGGGCACGUGCUCAGCCCUGUGCAAUCCCGUGCCCUUCAUAUCCCCAGGAACACAUGGGAGCUUUGUAAAGUCCUUUUCCCCCCAACCCCUGAUGUAUCUCAUUCUCUAGCCUUUCCUCCAAGCUUUUCAUGGUCUCAUUGUUUGCCCCGACAGGGAUGGCUAAUACAUUUGCCUUUAUACUUUUUCAACAACUGUCCCUCUGCUCUGAAGAGUUCUGAGUUGGGUAAAACCAAGGCAAGUCCUUUGAGCCAUCCUUCGAGGAGCCAGGAAACAGGCCCAAACAAAUAACCACGGUUCUGUGAGAACGGUAUUCUACUCCCACUGGUACCAGGAACACGUACCAGGAAUGCAGGCCACUGUCUUCAAGGCUGCCAGGAAGCAGGUAACAAAUGGGACCAGGGGUAAGUUAAAGUGCCACAAAGCAAUUUUGUCAAGAUUCAGCCGUUUGUUGGUGGUGGUGGAGUGGUUUGGUUUGACUAACAAUUUUCUGGGUUGCCAUAAACUUGGUUAUUUUCUAGAGUCCCAAUAAUGUUGAUUCUGACAGUUUCUGCCAAUUUCUUCUCUUUUACAGAGGAAGGGACUUUUGGAGUUCCUCAUUCCACCAUCCUGUAGACAUCUGCCAGCUUAUUCUUUUUGAGCUAAAAGGAAAACUUGGUUACUUUCAAGGGUUUCGUAAAGCAAAGACAAUCAUGCUCGCAAACUGUAAAGGAGAGAGCAUAAGGCCGCACUGUUCUAAGCCAAGAGUUAAUGUGCCAUGUUAACGAUGCAGACUUCCGCUUUGAUUAGACCCGAGCAUCAAUGUGUAUUACGUUAUGCGAUUAGCAAAAUAUGUCUUCCUUUCAUGCACCUGUAGGAGCACAACCAUCAUGGGGUGUUUGGCUGAGACGUGGCGUCGGGAGGGGUCUGGACACUGCCGGCUGUGAUGAGCACAGAGAGAUGAGCAGGAGACCAUCCAAUACCCAGGGCAGCUGACAGAAGCAGGGGCCUCAAUGAUUUUGCACACGCAGGCCCCCAGACCUGCUCCAGAGCAAGCCCCCAAGAGUCAGGCUUCUCUCUUGGGAGCUGCAAGAAACCCUGAUACGGCAAACGGGAGCAGAACAAAGCCAUGCCGAGAUGCAGGUGGCAACUCACACCAACUCGCUGACCUGCCCCCCGUGGCUCACAGCCUGGGACUCGAGUUCCUCUCCUGCCACAGCCAUUACACGUCAGAAAUGUGCGGGUCCUGGACAAACAGAACAGGAAAUAUUACAUCCCCGAGAGGCCACUGUCUCACCCCGACAAGAUGCAGAAGACAAAACGGAGCGGGCGGACGAACAUUUCAACAUCCAUGGCACGUAUAUUCAGCUUUCUUUUUAUUUUAAUUAUAAAACAAUGGCCAAUACACAAAGUUUAAAAAAAAACACACACACACACACAACGUAAGUUUUUAUUCCCUCUUUUUUUGCAGAAAAUAAAUAACGGUCACGUAA